rnacentral:rRNA from 1 species
CCUACGGGAGGCAGCAGUGGGGAAUCUUGCACAAUGGAGGAAACUCUGAUGCAGCAAUGCCGCGUGAGUGAAGAAGGCCUUUGGGUUGUAAAGCUCUUUUGUAGGGGAAGAUAAUGACUGUACCCUAAGAAUAAGGUCCGGCUAACUUCGUGCCAGCAGCCGCGGUAAUACGAAGGGACCUAGCGUAGUUCGGAAUUACUGGGCGUAAAGCGCGCGUAGGCCGUUGAGUUAGUUAAUUGUGAAAUCCCAAAGCUUAACUUUGGAACUGCAAUUAAAACUGCUCGACUAGAGUUUGAUAGAGGAAAGCGGAAUACAUAGUGUAGAGGUGAAAUUCGUAGAUAUUAUGUAGAACACCAGUUGCGAAGGCGGCUUUCUGGAUCAACACUGACGCUGAGGCGCGAAAGUAUGGGUAGCAAAGAGGAUUAGAUACCCUCGUAGUCCAUACCAUAAACGAUGAUUGCUAGAUGUUGGAAAUUUAUUUUCAGUAUCGCAGCUAACGCAUUAAGCAAUCCGCCUGGGGAGUACGACCGCAAAGGUUAAAACUCAAAAGGAAUUGACGG